AGGGUGCAAGCGUUAUCCGGAAUUAUUGGGCGUAAAGAGCUCGUAGGCGGUUUGUCGCGUCUGCUGUGAAAUCUGGGGGCUCAACCACCAGCCUGCAGUGGGUACGGGCAGACUAGAGUGCGGUAGGGGAGAUUGGAAUUCCUGGUGUAGCGGUGGAAUGCGCAGAUAUCAGGAGGAACACCGAUGGCGAAGGCAGAUCUCUGGGCCGUAACUGACGCUGAGGAGCGAAAGGGUGGGGAGCAA
rnacentral:rRNA from 1 species